GAUGAACGCUGGCGGCGUGCCUAAUACAUGCAAGUCGAGCGAACGGACGAGAAGCUUGCUUAUCUGAUGUUAGCGGCGGACGGGUGAGUAACACGUGGAUAACCUACCUAUAAGACUGGGAUAACUUCGGGAAACCGGAGCUAAUACCGGAUAAUAUUUUGAACCGCAUGGUUCAAAAGUGAAAGACGGUCUUGCUGUCACUUAUAGAUGGAUCCGCGCUGCAUUAGCUAGUUGGUAAGGUAACGGCUUACCAAGGCAACGAUGCAUAGCCGACCUGAGAGGGUGAUCGGCCACACUGGAACUGAGACCCGGUCCAGACUCCUACGGGAGGCAGCAGUAGGGAAUCUUCCGCAAUGGGCGAAAGCCUGACGGAGCAACGCCGCGUGAGUGAUGAAGGUCUUCGGAUCGUAAAACUCUGUUAUUAGGGAAGAACAUAUGUGUAAGUAACUGUGCACAUCUUGACGGUACCUAAUCAGAAAGCCACGGCUAACUACGUG
rnacentral:rRNA from 1 species